ACUCCACCACUACCACAUAUCUACAGUACACUGUGUGCCCUCAGGCCCCUACUCCACCACUACCACAUAUCUACAGUACACUGUGUGCCCUCAGGCCCCUACUCCACCACUACCACAUAUCUACAGUACACUGUGUGCCCUCAGGCCCCUACUCCACCACUACCUCAUAUCUACAGUACACUGUGUGCCCUCAGGCCCCUCCUCCACCACUACCUCAUAUCUACAACACACUGUGUGCCCUCAGGCCCCUAGUCCACCACUACCACAUAUCUACAACACACUGUGUGCCCUCAGGCCCCUACUCCACCACUACCACAUAUCUACAACACACUGUGUGCCCUCAGGCCCCUACC
ensembl:lncRNA